UCAGAAAAAGCCAAACCUAUCGUAAGAUAGGGGCAGAAAGCUGCGGGUCCGCGACAGCGGAUAGCCGGGUUGCCUGAA
rnacentral:ncRNA from 1 species